rnacentral:rRNA from 1 species
UACGGAAGGCAGCAGUGGGGAAUAUUGCACAAUGGGCGAAAGCCUGAUGCAGCUAUGCCGCGUGUAUGAAGAAGGCCUUAGGGUUGUAAAGUACUUUCAUCGGGGAGGAAAAAACAAAACUAAUAAUUUUAUUUCUUGACGUUACCCGAAAAAGAAGCACCGGCUAACUCCGUGCCAGCAGCCGCGGUAAUACGGAGGGUGCUAGCGUUAAUCAGAAUUACUGGGCGUAAAGAGCACGUAGGUGGUUUUUUUAAGUCAGAUGUGAAAUCCCUGGGCUUAACCUAGGAACUGCAUUUUGAAACUGAAAUACUAGAGUAUCGUAGGGGGAGGUAGAAUUCUAGGUGUAGCGGUGAAAUGCGUAGAUAUCUGGAGGAAUACCUGUGGCGAAAGCGGCCUCCUAAACGAAUACUGACACUGAGGGUGCGAAAAGCGUGGGGAGCAAAACAGGGAUUAGAUACC